rnacentral:rRNA from 1 species
GAUGAACGCUGGCGGCGUGCCUAAUACAUGCAAGUCGAGCGAACGGACGAUAAGCUUGCUUCUCUGAUGUUAGCGGCGGACGGGUGAGUAACACGUGGAUAACCUACCUAUAAGACUGGGAUAACUUCGGGAAACCGGAGCUAAUACCGGAUAAUAUUUUGAACCGCAUGGUUCAAAAGUGAAAGACGGUGUUUCUGGCACUUAUAGAUGGAUCCGCGCUGCAUUAGCUAGUUGGUAAGGUAACGGCUUACCAAGGCAACGAUGCAUAGCCGAACUGAGAGGGUGAUCGGCCACACUGGAACUGAGACACGGUCCAGACUCCUACGGGAGGCAGCAGUAGGGAAUCUUCCGCAAUGGGCGAAAGCCUGACGGAGCAACGCCGCGUGAGUGAUGAAGGUCUUCGGAUCGUAAAACUCUGUUAUUAGGGAAGAACAUAUGUGUAAGUAACUGUGCACAUCUUGACGGUACCUAAUCAGAAAGCCACGGCUAACUACGUG